rnacentral:rRNA from 1 species
CCCUUAGAUGUUCUGGGCUGCACGCGCGCUACACUGAUGCGCUCAACGAGUUUACGAACUUGCCCGGAAGGGUUGGUUAAUCUUUUUAAAACGCAUCGUGAUUGGGAUAGACCUUUGCAAUUAUGGGUCUUCAACGAGGAAUUCCUAGUAAACGCAAGUCAUCAGCUUGCAUUGAUUACGUCCCUGCCCUUUGUACACACCGCCCGUCGCACCUACCGAUUGAAUGGUCCGGUGAAAUCUCGGGACGGCGGCUUGGUCGCUUGCGUCCGACUGCUGAAACUUGAUUAAACCAUAUCAUUUAGAGGAAGGUGAAGUCGUAACA